CAGCUGCAGCUCUUGCCCUCUGCGCUGGUCGUUUUGGCGGUUCAGACCACUACCACCUUGGCCACCGAUCGUUUCCCCAAUCUGAACAAAACAAAAACUUGUCACGUUCAGAUUUUGGAAAACGAUACAAGCAUCUACAAAGUAAAGCACUUUGUCAAGCAAUCAGAAUAAUGAACAUUGCAAACAACACAAGCAAGAUGUUGCGAAGGACUCAAGUGAAGUUGGAAA